rnacentral:rRNA from 1 species
UACGAAUGGUACAAGUGUUAUUGAGAUGUAUUGGGCGUAAAGGAUAUGUAGGCGGACACAAAAACUUUUUGCGAAAAGCUAGAACAACAUGUGUAGCAAGGGCAAUUUCAGAUUACGUGUCUUUGUGUUAAUGUUAGGUACGUGAAAUACCUAGUGUAACGAUAAAAUGUGUAAUAUUAGGUAGAAUGCCGAUAGCGAAGGCAUCGAUCCAAUGUUAACUGACGCUGAGGUAUGAAGGUAUGGGGAGCAACCAGG